UUUGUCAUUCCUUCAUAAACAGACGUUACGCUAUGGUAAUGAAACUGUAGUUCAAAUGCAGAAAAUUAAACUAAACCUUGAAUGUAAAGUAUAUGAGACAUUUUUUUUCUGAUCAGGUGAUUACAUGAUUACUGAUAACAUCGACGAAACAACGCAAAGUAUGAAUGUGACAAACAUAAGUGACGAUCAUCAUCAAAAUAAUUCUCUCAACAUAUGCGAUGAAAAGGGAAAUGUUAUCCUGAAAUGUAAUCAAGUUCAAAGCACAUGCCUUCGAAAUGUUUUGAAUAUAUACAGCCCGGCUGGAUUCAAACUUGGAUGUUUCAGAAAAAGGCUGUGUAAAUGCAAAGCAGAGUAUGAGAUAUGCUCAGGAAAUCGGAAUUCAUUAUUUUUGCUAACAGCCUACCAGAAACCAUCAGGAUUUAGAAUCAAUAUAACCAACGUCGAUGAGCAGAAUGUAGUAGCUACAAUUGAUUUAUUGACGAGACAAAUAGACAAAAUUGAAUUCACUCUAACUUAUAUGGAGAACAUUGCAAUUUUGCAGAAGACUCUUAUUCUGUGUGCUGCUAUAUCGUGCUGCGAACAGGAAUAUAAUGCCCACACGUGUGAUAUUUAUUCUAGAUUUAUAGAAAGUCUGUGUUGUUCAUUGUUCGGGAAAAGCAAGAUAAAAUUCGAGAUAUUAUGCGUUGUAUUCCCAGUAUUAAUUGGGCUUUAUGUUGUAGGGGUACUUUUUGUUUCUAACUAGGUUUGACAUC